UUCUCACAGCACAAUUGAUUUCCGUGCGUCCGCUGUUCUGCUUACCAGGGCUGCCUUAGAAGCAGCUUUAAUGUGACGGGAGAGAGAAUUUAAAUGAAAAAGACAUGAAGAGAUGAAAAAGGUCAGCGCUUUGAAAAUAUGCCUCCAUAAAGGAUUUGCGCAGCCAUUGGAGAGGAGAGAUGUUGUAAUAGAUUAAGAAAAAAUGAAGAUAGGAGGAGCAACAAGAAGAAGAAGGCACGGAAGAAACACUGAGAUGACACAUGGAAGGAUUGAUAUAUUAAACAUUUGUUUGUG